rnacentral:rRNA from 1 species
GAUGAACGCUGGCGGCGUGCCUAAUAUAUGCAAGUCGAGCGAACGGACGAGAAGCUUGCUUCUCUGAUGUUAGCGGCGGACGGGUGAGUAACACGUGGAUAACCUACCUAUAAGACUGGGAUAACUUCGGGAAACCGGAGCUAAUACCGGAUAAUAUUUUGAACCGCAUGGUUCAAAAGUGAAAGACGGUCUUGCUGUCACUUAUAGAUGGAUCCGCGCUGCAUUAGCUAGUUGGUAAGGUAACGGCUUACCAAGGCAACGAUGCAUAGCCGACCUGAGAGGGUGAUCGGCCACACUGGAACUGAGACACGGUCCAGACUCCUACGGGAGGCAGCAGUAGGGAAUCUUCCGCAAUGGGCGAAAGCAUGACGGAGCAACGCCGCGUGAGUGAUGAAGGUCUUCGGAUCGUAAAACUCUGUUAUUAGGGAAGAACAUAUGUGUAAGUAACUGUGCACAUAUUGACGGUACCUAAUCAGAAAGCCACGGCUAACUACGUG